rnacentral:siRNA from 1 species
GGCCAGCUUCUAAUGGUCGG